UAUUAUCGGGCGACCCACUCCUCCUCCUCCCAAGGGGCGCCUGACGGAACAGCGGCACUCCUCCUCCCAGCCGUUGUUCAUCAUUUCGGAAAGCCUGCCGCACCUCCUCCCGCGGCAGGCUUUUUCG
rnacentral:sRNA from 1 species